rnacentral:rRNA from 1 species
AUUGAACGCUGGCGGCAUGCCUUACACAUGCAAGUCGAACGGCAGCACGGGAGCAAUCCUGGUGGCGAGUGGCGAACGGGUGAGUAAUAUAUCGGAACGUGCCCAGUCGUGGGGAUAACGUAGCGAAAGCUACGCUAAUACCGCAUACGAUCUAUGGAUGAAAGCGGGGGAUCGCAAGACCUCGCGCGAUUGGAGCGGCCGAUAUCAGAUUAGGUAGUUGGUGAGGUAAAGGCUCACCAAGCCGACGAUCUGUAGCUGGUCUGAGAGGACGACCAGCCACACUGGGACUGAGACACGGCCCAGACUCCUACGGGAGGCAGCAGUGGGGAAUUUUUGGGACAAUGGGCGCAAGCCUGAUCCAGCAAUGCCGCGUGCAGGAUGAAGGCCUUCGGUUGUAAC